GUGGGGAAUAUUGGACAAUGGGCGCAAGCCUGAUCCAGCAAUGCCGCGUGUGUGAAGAAGGUUUUCGGAUCGUAAAGCACUUUCGGCGGGGACGAUGAUGACGGUACCCGCAGAAGAAGCCCCGGCUAACUUCGUGCCAGCAGCCGCGGUAAUACGAAGGGGGCUAGCGUUGCUCGGAAUUACUGGGCGUAAAGGGCGCGUAGGCGGCUUGGCCAGUCAGGCGUGAAAUUCCUGGGCUCAACCUGGGGACUGCGCUUGAUACUGCUGAGCUUGAGGCCGAGAGAGGGUGGUGGAAUUCCCAGUGUAGAGGUGAAAUUCGUAGAUAUUGGGAAGAACACCGGUGGCGAAGGCGACCACCUGGCUCGGUACUGACGCUGAGGCGCGACAGCGUGGGGAGCAAACAGGAUUAGAUACCCUUGUAGUCC
rnacentral:rRNA from 1 species